UUCGCAAUGCCCGAAAGGGUGACGAAGCGACGCCGCGUGGGUGAGGAAGGCCUUCGGGUUGUAAGCCCUGUCAGGAGUUAAGAAAUGUAAGUGUGCUAAUAUCGCAUUUACUUGACGAAGGCUCCAAAGGAAGUCACGGCUAACUCUGUGCCAGCAACCGCGGUAAUACAGAGGUGGCAAGCGUUGUUCGGAAUUAUUGGGCGUAAAGAGCACGUAGGUGGGUUUGUAAGUCAGAUGUGAAAGCCUCCUGUUCAACGGGAGAAUUGCAUCUGAGACUACUGAUCUUGAGUAUAGGAGGGGAGAAUGGAACUUCUGGUGGAGCGGUGAAAUGCGUAGAUAUCAGAAGGAACGCCGGCGGCGAAAGCGAUUCUCUGGCCUAUUACUGACACUCAGUGUGCGAAAGCUAGGGGAGCAAACGGGAUUAGAUACCCCGGUAGUCCUAGCCGUAAACGAUGGGCACUAAGUAGAGGGGUUUU
rnacentral:rRNA from 1 species